rnacentral:rRNA from 1 species
UGGGGAAUUUUGGACAAUGGGGGCAACCCUGAUCCAGCCAUGCCGCGUGAGUGAAGAAGGCCUUCGGGUUGUAAAGCUCUUUCGGCGGGGAAGAAAUGGCAACGGCUAAUAUCCGUUGUUGAUGACGGUACCCGCAUAAGAAGCACCGGCUAACUACGUGCCAGCAGCCGCGGUAAUACGUAGGGUGCGAGCGUUAAUCGGAAUUACUGGGCGUAAAGCGUGCGCAGGCGGUUUCGUAAGACAGACGUGAAAUCCCCGGGCUCAACCUGGGAACUGCGUUUGUGACUGCGAGGCUAGAGUACGGCAGAGGGGGGUAGAAUUCCACGUGUAGCAGUGAAAUGCGUAGAGAUGUGGAGGAAUACCGAUGGCGAAGGCAGCCCCCUGGGUUAGUACUGACGCUCAUGCACGAAAGCGUGGGGAGCAAACA